AGUGAACGCUGGCGGUAGGCCUAACACAUGCAAGUCGAACGGCAGCACAGGAGGGCUUGCUCUCUGGGGGGCGAGGGGCGGGGGGGUGAGGAAUACAUCGGAAUCUGCCCAGUGGCGGGGGAUAACGCGGGGAAACGUACGCUAUUACGGCAUACGACCUGCGGGGGAAAGAGGGGGAGCGCAAGACCUCUCGCGAGUGGAUUAGACGAGGUCGGAUUCGCUAGUUGGUGGGGUAACGGCCCACCAAGGCGACGAUCCGUAGCGGGUCUGAGAGGAUGAUCAGCCACACUGGAACUGAGACACGGUCCAGACUCCUACGGGAGGCAGCAGUGGGGAAUAUUGGACAAUGGGCGCAAGCCUGAUCCAGCCAUACCGCGUGGGUGAAGAAGGUCUUCGGGUUGUAAAGCCCUUUUGUUGGGAAAGAAAACUUUCAGGCUAAUACCCUGGGAGGAUGACGGUACCCAAAGAAUAAGCACCGGCUAACUUCGUG
rnacentral:rRNA from 1 species